CUUCUGCACUGCCAGUCCGGAUGAAGUGUGUUUUCCUCAAACUGAAGGGGCCAGUCCUCAGUGAUGGCCCAGGUCAGCCAUGACUUUCAAACCCAGGAACUCAGGGACACCUGUAGGCGGACAGAAGACUCCUCCCUACCUCCCAUGAAUACCCACUCACCUUUGGGAUAUCUGAGUGGUAAACAGAUGGAUCCCACACAAUUAGGAUUCCCUCGUUGUACAAACUGUCUUUGAGGAAGCGCCCAUCAGUGGUGACCAACUGCAGGAAGAAACAGACAAACUGUCACCCGGAUGCUGACUGCCCCAAACAGAGUAUGAAAAGGAAGCGCUAAGAGGUUACAUAGCGAGCCCAAGAUCACACAGCCAGGAAUGGAUGGAGCCAGGAUGCAAACCAAGGCCUGUCUGAUCUUUUCCCACUGCACCAGACAACCCUCAUUCAAAAUAACAAGGGAUAACAAAAGAAA